rnacentral:rRNA from 1 species
AUUGAACGCUGGCGGCAUGCCUUACACAUGCAAGUCGAACGGUAACAGGUCUUCGGAUGCUGACGAGUGGCGAACGGGUGAGUAAUACAUCGGAACGUGCCUAGUAGUGGGGGAUAACUACUCGAAAGAGUGGCUAAUACCGCAUGAGAUCUACGGAUGAAAGCAGGGGAUCGCAAGACCUUGUGCUACUAGAGCGGCCGAUGGCAGAUUAGGUAGUUGGUGGGAUAAAAGCUUACCAAGCCGACGAUCUGUAGCUGGUCUGAGAGGACGAUCAGCCACACUGGGAGUGAGGAACGGCCCAGACUCCUACGGGAGGCAGCAGUGGGGAAUUUUGGACAAUGGGCGCAAGCCUGAUCCAGCAAUGCCGCGUGCAGGAUGAAGGCCUUCGGGUUGUAAACUGCUUUUGUACGGAACGAAAAGCCCUGGGUUAAUACCCUGGGGUCAUGACGGUACCGUAAGAAUAAGCACCGGCUAACUACGUGCCAGCAGCCGCAGUAAAAC